UUGAUCAUGGCUCAGAAUGAACGCUGGCGGCUGUGCUUUACACAUGCAAGUUGAGCGAGGCGGGGUAGCAAUACCCCAGUCGAGCGGCGAACGGGUGAGUAACGCGUGGGUAACCUACCUCUGGGUGUGGAAUAACUCGGGGAAACUCGAGCUAAUACCGCAUAACAUUCAAGGAUCAAAGGGGGCGCAAGCUCCCGCCUGGAGAGGGGCCCGCGUUCGAUUAGCUAGUUGGUAGGGUAAUGGCCUACAAAGGCGACGAUCGAUAGCCGGCCUGAGAGGGUGAUCGGCCACACUGGAACUGAGACACGGUCCAGACUCCUACGGGAGGCAGCAGUGGGGAAUUUUGCGCAAUGGGCUAACGCCUGACGCAGCAACGCCGCGUGGAGGAUGACGGUCCUUGGAUCGUAAACUCCUGUCAGCAGGGAAAAAGGGGACCGGGCUCAUACCCCGGUUCAUUGAUUGUACCUGCAGAGGAAGCCCCGGCUAACUCUGUGCCAGCAGCCGCGGUAAUACAGAGGGGGCAAGCGUUAUUCGGAAUUAUUGGGCGUAAAGGGCGCGUAGAGCGGCUCGACAAGUGGAAGGUGAAAUCCCUCGGCUUAACCGAGGAACUGCGCCUCCAAACUG
rnacentral:rRNA from 1 species